ACCUUAAAGUCGGUCUCGCGAAUGCAUCUGAGAUGAUUAAUUGAUCAUGGCUCAGAUUGACCGCUGGCGUUAAGGCCUAACACAUGCAAGUCGAGCGGAUGACGGGAGCUUGCUCCAUUGAUUCAGCGGCGGACGGGUAGAGUAAUGCCAUUAGAGAAUCUUGCCAUGGAUAGUUAGGUGGGACAAACGUAUUCGAAACGGAACGCUAAAUACCAGACAUAUCGUUCACAUAACUGUGAAAAGUAAAAAGNCAAGGGGAACCUNUCNGNGCCCAUAGUCAGNCCUAAUUCAAGAAUUGAUUACCCCUAACUGAUCAAGGAAUUAAACAUUACAAANUAAGAAUA
rnacentral:rRNA from 1 species